ensembl:snRNA U6 U6 spliceosomal RNA
AUGCUCAUUUCGGAAACGCAUACACUAAAAUUGGAACGAUACAAGAAGAUUAGCAUGGCCCCUGUGCAAGAAUGGCAUGCAAAUUUGUGAAGCGUUCUAUAUUUUU